AUUUCCUCUUGCUGGUGUUUUUCGUCAUCACCUCCCGACCUAGAAAUUUCAAUUCAAAAACCCAAUCUCUGUUUCUCAGAGAGACUAGAUGCUGAUCGAACGCUGCGUUUCGUCGGCGAUCGUCGAAAUCCGUAUCGGAAUGCAAUCAAAUAGCACGCUCUGAUAAUUAUUUUGGAGAGAACAAAAUCAUGUGGUUUUCGUUAAGGAGAUGAUCCAGGGACCGAUUCUCCUUCAAUGAGCUCAGGGAACUUGUGUUGAAGGAAUCAAAGAGGAAGUUGUGUAGUCUCCUGCUUAUGCUCUUUCCUUGAUAGCAACCUAGAAGGUCGCUUUCCAAAGUUUAGGAAAUGGUUCGGUCAGGAUUGACAAGUGGUCAGGGAUCAGUUUCCGAAAAAUCUGUAAUCAUCAGUUGUUUUGGUGGACACACGUUACUUUUCCAGUAUUUGAACAAUAUGGAUGUGUAGUUCUUGGAUAGUUUAUAUCAAGGACACUGGGUUUUAUGGAAAUACUAAUGGCCUUUUGAAUUCAGACUGUUGUAUUAUGUUACCUCUUGGAUAUCCAUCGAUCAGUAGCCUUUCUAUUCAAAACUGCAUGCUAAUGAAACCUUGUGAACAAUGGAUUUUAUGUGUUUCCAUUGAUACUAAUGCUUUUUUGCUUUUGA